rnacentral:tRNA from 1 species
UGGGGUGUGGCUCAGCUUGGUAGAGCGUCUGCUUUGGGAGCAGAACGUCGCAGGUUCAAAUCCUGUCACCCCAACCA